UGGGGAAUAUUGCACAAUGGGCGGAAGCCUGAUGCAGCGACGCCGCGUGGGGGAUGAAGGCCUUCGGGUUGUAAACUCCUUUCGACAGGGACGAAGCUUUUGUGACGGUACCUGUAUAAGAAGCACCGGCUAACUACGUGCCAGCAGCCGCGGUAAUACGUAGGGUGCGAGCGUUGUCCGGAAUUACUGGGCGUAAAGAGCUCGUAGGUGGUUUGUCGCGUCGUCUGUGAAAUUCCGGGGCUUAACUCCGGGCGUGCAGGCGAUACGGGCUGACUUGAGUGCUGUAGGGGAGACUGGAAUUCCUGGUGUAGCGGUGAAAUGCGCAGAUAUCAGGAGGAACACCGUUGGCGAAGGCAGGUCUCUGGGCAGUAACUGACGCUGAGGAGCGAAAGCAUGGGUAGCGAACAGG
rnacentral:rRNA from 1 species